GACCGGAUGCGGAUCUCGAAAGCCUGUCCCAGUUCGGACUGGAGUCUGCAACCCGACUCCACGAAGUUGGAUUCGCUAGUAAUCGCGCAUCAGCCAUGGCGCGGUGAAUACGUUCCCGGGCCUUGUACACACCGCCCGUCAAGCCAUGGGGAGCCGGGGGCNCCUGAAGUCCGGGACCGCGAGGACCGGCCUAGGGCGAAACUGGUAACUGGGGCUAAGUCGUAACAAGGUAGC
rnacentral:rRNA from 1 species